UGCAGCAGUAUGUUUUUUGUUAUGGCUGUUUCUACUUCUGUUUAGAAGGCAACCCAGCUGAAGGAUAGAGUUUCAAAGACAUGAAGAGUGUCAAGUGAGACCUGCCAUGUGUAUGUUCAUAUACCAGAUCUGCUUGAUGAAAGUCGAAUGCCUUACUAAAUUCAUCACCCAUAUGAUAAAGCAUCAGGAAAUUUAUCUCAUCAUGUGGAGUAAUG